rnacentral:rRNA from 1 species
UACGGAGGGUGCAAGCGUUGCUCGGAAUUAUUGGGCGUAAAGGGUAGGUAGGUGGUCUCAUUUGUCUGGGGUGAAAGCCUUGAGCUUAACUCAAGAAGUGCCCCAGAAACGGUGAGACUGGAGUCCUGGAGAGGGUCGUGGAAUUCCCGGUGUAGCGGUGAAAUGCGUAGAGAUCGGGAGGAACACCGGUGGCGAAGGCGGCAUCCUGGACCGGUAUUGACGCUGAGGCGCGAAAGCUAGGGGAGCAAACGGG